rnacentral:rRNA from 1 species
UACGGAGGAUGCAAGUGUUAUCCGGAAUCACUGGGUUUAAAGGGUCCGUAGGUGGACGAUUAAGUCAGAGGUGAAAUCCUGCAGCUCAACUGUAGAAUUGCCUUUGAUACUGGUUGUCUUGAAUCAUUGUGAAGUGGUUAGAAUAUGUGGUGUAGCGGUGAAAUGCAUAGAUAUCACAUAGAAUACCGAUUGCGAAGGCAGAUCACUAACAAUGCAUUGACACUGAUGGACGAAAGCGUGGGGAGCGAACGGG